rnacentral:tRNA from 24 species
GGAUCUUUAGCUCAGUUGGUUAGAGCAACCGGCUCAUAACCGGUUGGUCCGGGGUUCGAGUCCCUGAAGGUCCACCA